CUCUGAGGCCACCAGCAACUCCCGCUCCCUGCUGCAGGGCUCACCAUCCAUCUUGGAGCUGAACACCAAAUGGGAGCUGAUAGAUUGUCCUUGGUGGGCCAUGUUCUUGUGUGUGAUGGAGCUGUGUGCCAGAGAGGGCCAGGAGAAGAUGCACCACGCAUGGCCAGGACCGGGCUAAACAGUCUGUAAUGCUUCAGGUGGAGGACACUGGCAACGGAUGGUCCAUCUCAGGAUCUCUGGAACAUCGGAGGAUCUGGCUCUCUACUGCCCAAGCAGGAGAUCAACAGAUCUGAGCGGAUAGCACAGCCUUCACUGGAUCCUUUGGUGGAUUACAGGAGUCAGGUAAGUAUCAGAGUCCUUGACAGAUGUUAGUAAGCGAAGUCUUGAUCUAAUGCCACACAAAGAACCUGGACGUGGCUGCUUUGUUGGUGGACAGCGCCUGCAUCACCACUAACAGUCCCUUAUACGCUGUCUGAGGCGCGCAUUCCUGAGGCACACUCUGACAGGCACCGCUCCCAACCGGUUCCCAUCAGUUCUCUGUCCCUCAGGUUCCGUGAGGAAAACAGAGUUUUGGCGGGAAAAUGCCAUGAAGAAAGGGUACCAUAACGGCGUUCAAACCCUUCCUAUCAUAUGUGCCAUCUUGAAUUUCUAAAGUCCAUUUUGAAUUGCAGCAACAUUCCUAACAGAAUAUGACCAUGUACCAAAAUCACCUUACAGGAUAGGUAAGAAGACAGAAAUGUAAUAUUGCCUCUCAAUAAAUCCAUGGUAUGCCUCAUCUUGAAUACUGGAGCGGGUCUGAAAAAGAUAUCCUGGAAUUGGAAAAGGUACAGAAAAGGGCAACCAAAAUUUUUAGGGAUAUGGAACAGCUUCCAUAUGAGAUUAAAUUAAUAAGACUGGGUGGAGAUUUCAGCUUGGAA